UACGAAGGGGGCUAGCGUUGUUCGGAUUUACUGGGCGUAAAGGGCGCGUAGGCGGCCAGCACAAGUCAGUUGUGAAAUCUCCGAGCUUAACUCGGAAAGGUCAACUGAUACUGUGCGGCUAGAGUGCGGAAGGGGCAACUGGAAUUCCUGGUGUAGCGGUGAAAUGCGCAGAUAUCAGGAGGAACACCGAUGGCGAAGGCAGGUCUCUGGGCCACUACUGACGCUGAGAAGCGAAAGCAUGGGGAGCGAACAGG
rnacentral:rRNA from 1 species